AGUGAACGCUGGCGGUAGGCCUAACACAUGCAAGUCGAACGGCAGCACAGUAAGAGCUUGCUCUUACGGGUGGCGAGUGGCGGACGGGUGAGGAAUACAUCGGAAUCUACUUUUUCGUGGGGGAUAACGUAGGGAAACUUACGCUAAUACCGCAUACGACCUACGGGUGAAAGCAGGGGAUCUUCGGACCUUGCGCGAUUGAAUGAGCCGAUGUCGGAUUAGCUAGUUGGCGGGGUAAAGGCCCACCAAGGCGACGAUCCGUAGCUGGUCUGAGAGGAUGAUCAGCCAAACUGGAACUGGGACACGGUCCAGACUCCUACGGGAGGCAGCAGUGGGGAAUAUUGGACAAUGGGGGCAAGCCUGAUCCAGCCAUACCGCGUGGGUGAAGAAGGCCUUCGGGUUGUAAAGCCCUUUUGUUGGGAAAGAAAAGCAGCAGGUUAAUACCCCGCUGUUCUGACGGUACCCAAAGAAUAAGCACCGGCUAACUUCGU
rnacentral:rRNA from 1 species